rnacentral:lncRNA from 1 species
CAGCACCACAUACGUGAAAUAAAGACGUUGUGUCCACCUAAAACUUAAGAAUAAAUAUUAAAAGGGGGUGGGUGGGAAAAAUCCAAAACCGAACAUUGGUCCGAUCCAAAUCACUCAUCCUGCAACUAGAGACAGGUCCAAGGGGACCACAGCCUGACAAGGGAAUUAGGGACAAAGCUGGGCAGAUGGGGGUCCCCUAGGUGUAGCAGGGAGGUCUGCUUCCUCAGGGAGUAGUGACUCCUUCCCUGAGAUGGUCACCCAGCAUGGCAUGAGGCACCCCCAGGGAAAGGCAGACCCUGGCGGGUCGGUCACCUCUGGCCCCUGCACAGCCAUGUUCUUGCCCGUCUCCCACCUCCAGCUCCUUGGCCGCAGUGUUAGGGGCGGGGUCCAAGUCCCAGCUCUGGGUCCUCUAGUGACUGUGAACAUGACCUUUGCCCUCCUAGGCCCUAGUGUCCCUGUCUUUGUAACUGAAGGCUUGUCUUGGCCACUGAGGGCCUUCCUGCUGUGAUCCUUCACUGGGUUCUUGCCUCCUUUGGAAGAAAUUCUAGAACCUUUGGCCUGAAUGCAGGUUCCCCUCCCUGAGUGAGAAGGACUCUCCUCAAGGCAACCCCCACCUCCUGAGAUCCAGGCCCUUGGUGCCUUGUGUCUGAGGGCCACAGCUGAGGAGAGGCACAUAACCUGGCACCCUGCAGCCAAAGCUGUACCCCCUUGCAUAUGCAGGUCACGCCAGGGCUCUGGUGGGGACAGGACGAUGGUGUCUGCUGGCAGAGGGAAAUCCCUUCCCGGCCCACAGCGCCAGUUGCCAAGUGCAGGUAAACGGGUGGGGGGAUCAGCAAGGUGGGGGCAAGGCAGGCCUGGGCAGACGGUCCCAGCGCCUCGCCACUCCACCCACCUCUGCUUGGCUUCUAAACGUGGCCAAGAGGGAAGGGCAAGGGCUCCAUGAGCGCCUCUGCUGGUGAGCAGAGGAUGAGCUGACCAGGAGCCCAAGGUCGGGAGAGGGAUGAGGCUCCCCCAACAGCCGAUGGAUGCUCCUUUCUGCCCCUUGGGGCCCCCAAGAUGCCCCAGUUAGGGGUGGGAAGUAUGACCUUAAGACCUUCCUAGGUCCCCACCUGGUCCCUUCAUUUCUGCCUUGGAGCGUGGAAGUGACUCAUUCCACCCUGGCCACUGCCUGGUGGCAGGAACCGUCAGCACCCACUUGACAGAUGGGGAAGGCAAGGCAUCGGGAGGGGAGAGGCGCCCUGAGCUCACUGCACCAAGCGAGUGUCCCCCAGGGAAGUCUCCCGGGGCUCCCUCCAGGGUCCCAC